UACGGAGGGUGCGAGCGUUGUCCGGAAUCACUGGGCGUAAAGAGCGUGUAGGCGGCCAGGUAGGUCGGUUGUGAAAACUGGAGGCUCAACCUUCAGAGGUCGACCGAAACCAUCUGGCUAGAGUCCGGGAGAGGAGAGUGGAAUUCCUGGUGUAGCGGUGAAAUGCGCAGAUAUCAGGAAGAACACCCGGUGGCGAAAGCGGCUCUCUGGAACGGUACUGACGCUGAGACGCGAAAGCGUGGGGAGCGAACAGG
rnacentral:rRNA from 1 species